GAUUAACGUUGGCAGUGUGCCUAACACAUGCAAGUCGAACGAGAACGGAUUAUAGCUUGCUAUAAUUGUCAGCUAAGUGGCGCACGGGUGAGUAAUGUAUAGGUAAUAUGCCUCUUACUAAGGGAUAACAAAUGGAAACGUUUGCUAAUACCUUAUACUCCUUAUUAACAGAAGUUAAUAAGGGAAAGAUUUAUUGGUAAGAGAUUAGCCUGUAUUGUAUCAGUUAGUUGGUGGGGUAAUGGCUUACCAAGACUAUGACACAUAACUGGUUUGAGAGGAUGAUCAGUCACACUGGAACUGAGACACGGUCCAGACUCCUACGGGAGGCAGCAGUGGGGAAUAUUGCACAAUGGACGAAAGUCUGAUGCAGCAACGCCGCGUGGAGGAUGACACAUUUCGGUGCGUAAACUCCUUUUAUAUGAGAAGAUAAUGACGGUAUUAUAUGAAUAAGCACCGGCUAACUCCGUGCCAGCAGCCGCGGUAA
rnacentral:rRNA from 1 species